rnacentral:lncRNA from 1 species
CACAGUGGGAACUCGGUUAGGGCAGGGGCUCUCAGGAUCACCAUUGGUGGAAGAUGCUGGCAUUAACAAGACCUGAGAGGACUUCCCACAGCAAAGGCCAGUGCCCAACUGUGAUGACACUAUCCAGCAACUCACCUGCAAAGAGAGUUGGAGCCUCCAGCCGAUAGAAGACAGGGGCCCAGUCUUGGAAAAGAUAUUCCAGGGACUUGAACCAAAACAACAGCAGCAGCAGCAACAACAAACCCUUGAUGGCAUCAAAGGAAAAAGGUGACCAGAAGCAUCACUCCGAGCUGACGUCUAUACUUAAGAUUAGUGUGUCCUUUAAAAGGUUGCCUACAUGGAUUCAAUAAGAGAAACAAACAGGCCAUCUCAUUGUUUCUGCUAUGAGCUCUGAGUGUGGAAAGACCCAAUUUUUGUUUUUUCAUCUACUGUGGUCUAUUGUUAGUGUGUGACCUUUUCAUUUCAUAUUUUUUUCCCUUUCUUUGUUGGGGGAGGAUUGUGUUCUGAAUGGUAAAAAACAAACAAGCAAGUAAACAAACA